rnacentral:rRNA from 1 species
CCUACGGGAGGCAGCAGUGGGGAAUUUUGGACAAUGGGCGCAAGCCUGAUCCAGCCAUGCCGCGUGCGGGAAGAAGGCCUUCGGGUUGUAAACCGCUUUUGUUCGGGAAGAAAUUGACUGGGCUAAUACCCCGGUUAGAUGACGGUACCGGAAGAAUAAGCACCGGCUAACUACGUGCCAGCAGCCGCGGUAAUACGUAGGGUGCGAGCGUUAAUCGGAAUUACUGGGCGUAAAGCGUGCGCAGGCGGUUUCGCAAGUCAGAUGUGAAAGCCCCGGGCUCAACCUGGGAACUGCAUUUGAAACUACGAAGCUAGAGUGUGUCAGAGGGGGGUAGAAUUCCACGUGUAGCAGUGAAAUGCGUAGAGAUGUGGAGGAAUACCAAUGGCGAAGGCAGCCCCCUGGGAUAACACUGACGCUCAUGCACGAAAGCGUGGGGAGCAAACAGGAUUAGAUACCCUGGUAGUCCACGCCCUAAACGAUGUCAACUAGUUGUCGGGAAGCAAUUCCUUGGUAACGCAGCUAACGCGUGAAGUUGACCGCCUGGGGAGUACGGUCGCAAGAUUAAAACUCAAAGGAAUUGACGG